rnacentral:rRNA from 1 species
CGGAGGGUGCGAGCGUUGUCCGGAAUCAUUGGGCGUAAAGGGCGCGUAGGUGGCCCGGUCAGCGUGCGGUGAAAGCUCGGGGCUCAACCCCGAGUCGGCCGUGCGAGCUGCUGGGCUUGAGCACUGUAGAGGCAGGCGGAAUUCCGGGUGUAGCGGUGGAAUGCGUAGAGAUCCGGAAGAACACCGGUGGCGAAGGCGGCCUGCUGGGCAGUGGCUGACACUGAGGCGCGACAGCGUGGGGAGCAAACAGGAUUAGAUACCCUGGUAGUCCACGCCGUAAACGAUGGGCACUAGGCGCUUGGGGGAGCGACCCUCCGAGGGCCGGCGCUAACGCAUUAAGUGCCCCGCCUGGGGAGUACGGCCGCAAGGCUG